UACAGAGGUCUCAAGCGUUGUUCGGAUUCAUUGGGCGUAAAGGGUGCGUAGGUGGCGCGCUAAGUCGGGUGUGAAAUUUCGGAGCUUAACUCCGAAACUGCAUUCGAUACUGGCGUGCUUGAGGACUGGAGAGGAGACUGGAAUUUACGGUGUAGCGGUGAAAUGCGUAGAUAUCGUAAGGAAGACCAGUGGCGAAGGCGGGUCUCUGGACAGUUCCUGACGCUGAGGCACGAAGGCCAGGGGAGCAAACGGG
rnacentral:rRNA from 1 species